ACAACGUGCCACUAUCCCUUCGCCAAGUGCUACGAUUCUUCCCGUCCUCACCCCCCGCCUCCGAAAAAAAUGGCAAGUCUCUGCAUGAACACCCUUGGAAUGGACAGCCACACACAGGGGGAAAAGGCAGCACGACAAAACCUACCCGAGUCAAGCUCUACCAGAAAAGCUUCUGCAACACCCGGCAAAUCACCUUUCCCCCACCAUCCGCAUUUUGGACAAUGUCGAGUAUUUUGAACCCCACGAGAAUACAAUGUGGCAUGACAGGAGCAGCAGAGAGAAAGGAAAGUAGGCCAGUGUUGGGGACACAAGUCACUCCCGUGAGACUCAAGGAAAAACUGGAUAGGACCACACUGACCUCAACAGACUUCGGAAUGGCUU